GCCCGUCGCUCCUACCGAUUGGAUGACUCGGUGAAAUCACCGGAUGCUUACGAGCAGAAAGUGAUUAAAUCACGUUAUCUAGAGGAAGGAGAAGUCGUAACAAGGUAACGGUAGGUGAACCUGCCGUUGGAUCAGUUCUAGUUUUUAUAACUAACACCAACUUCUUUUAUUAAACAAAAACCAAUACAAAAAUUAAAAACUAACUUCAUCAAAAACC
rnacentral:rRNA from 1 species